rnacentral:lncRNA from 1 species
CUUGUCUACAACUUUGAGAAAGUACAGAUAACGCUUUCUAAAAUCCUCAGUUCUAGAGAUGUCUCUAUAAAAUCACAAGGACAUUAAUGCGAAGUCUUUUAGCUAUGUCACUGGCCUGAAAAAUAACUCUUUUAACGCGAUCAAGGUAUUUAAAACAAAAGUAACACGAAGCCAACGUAACGGCAAAGACAACGCUAAAAUGAAAUAUUGUCGAUUGGUUGCUGGUAGAACACUUACGACAGGAUCAAUCUUAAAUAACCUUAAACUAUAAGAAUAAAUGUUCACAUCAAAGACAAAGAUCAGUCCCAAAGUAUAAAAUAUGCUUCGUAAACUUACCGCGAAGUGGAGAAAUGUG